rnacentral:rRNA from 1 species
GUACGGGGGGAGCAAGCGUUGUUCGGAUUUACUGGGCGUAAAGGGCGCGUAGGCGGUCGUGACAAGUCACUUGUGAAAUCUCCGGGCUUAACUCGGAACGGUCAAGUGAUACUGUCGGACUAGAGUACAGAAGGGGCAACUGGAAUUCUCGGUGUAGCGGUGAAAUGCGUAGAUAUCGAGAGGAACACCUGCGGCGAAGGCGGGUUGCUGGGCUGAUACUGACGCUGAGGAGCGAAAGCGUGGGGAGCGAACAGG